AUUGAACGCUGGCGGCGGGCCUAACACAUGCAAGUCGAACGGUAACAGGAAGCAGCUUGCUGCUUCGCUGACGAGUGGCGGACGGGUGAGUAAUGUCUGGGAAGCUGCCUGAUGGAGGGGGAUAACUACUGGAAACGGUAGCUAAUACCGCAUAAUGUCGCAAGACCAAAGAGGGGGACCUUCGGGCCUCUCGCCAUCGGAUGUGCCCAGAUGGGAUUAGCUUGUUGGUGGGGUAACGGCUCACCAAGGCGACGAUCCCUAGCUGGUCUGAGAGGAUGACCAGCCACACUGGAACUGAGACACGGUCCAGACUCCUACGGGAGGCAGCAGUGGGGAAUAUUGCACAAUGGGCGCAAGCCUGAUGCAGCCAUGCCGCGUGUAUGAAGAAGGCCUUCGGGUUGUAAAGUACUUUCAGCGGGGAGGAAGGGAGUAAAGUUAAUACCUUUGCUCAUUGACGUUACCCGCAGAAGAAGCACCGGCUAACUCCGUG
rnacentral:rRNA from 1 species